AGCACACCACGUGGUAAAUCCGGUUCACUCCGCCCUGGCAUCCUGAGGUCGUCCAGGAACCAGGGAUGUCCCUCCAACGAAAGUAUGCUACGUGAGCCGUACCACCCGGUUCUAGUCACGUGCGUGAUCGGGGCGUUGAUCUUUUCCCCGCCUCUCUCUCUCUCUCUCUCUCUCUCUAUCUCGCUCUCUUUCUCUCCCUCCUGCGAGUCACUCUGCGCCUCUCUCUCUCUCCCGCGAGUCACUCUGCGCCUCUCUCUCCUCCGUCGUCGUCGUCCUUCUUUUUCGGUUUCUUCCGCCAAUCACCGCAUCGCUUUCUUCUUUUCUCCUAUUAAUACCCUCCGAAGUAGAGCAAGCAAGAAGCUCUU
rnacentral:lncRNA from 1 species